rnacentral:lncRNA from 1 species
UCAAGCUCUAGUCUGCGUAACCACCAAUUGGCCGGGUUCUUGGGUUCUGUAUAUACAAAUGAUUUUCCGUGGGCCACCAGUUGCCCAAAUUAUUUAUAUAAUUUGAGCAACUCAAAUUAUAUAAAUAAUGUCUUUUUUAGGAACAAUCGAAUAAUCCCUAAAUGUGAUGAAUGGAUAUAUGGUGCUACAAAUUUUAUUGUUUUGAAUAUUGAGUUGUUACACUUAAUCAAAUAAAUUUAAAAAACCUACAAAACCGAAUAUCAAGAUUCACAGUAAAUCUUUCUUGGCAUGAAUUUUUUGGUUCUCUGGCAUGAAUUAACAUUGUCUUUUAUUUUAAACUAUCUGGCUGUCUCAAUAACAGAAAAAAAAACACAAAUUGGUUAUUCGAAACGUCGCCUAUUAACUACGAACUAACGAAAAUAGAUUAAAAAUAAUAAUAAUUUUGAGUUCUAAGUUAAUUUCUUCGAUAGUGGACCAUUUUAUUUCGCAACACCCAAAAAAGAAGAUAAUAAUAAAAAAGCGAGAAUACCCAGAGAUAUGAAAAUAUAAGGCUUGAUCUCCUUCCCGUCGCUUUUAGAGGUACCUCUUUACUUGCCGCCAACAUCCACAGUAGCACUCCUGAAUUCCACAAUUUUGUUACAUUUAUAGAUUUUAGGUUGUAGUUCGAUCGUGUGAUUUUAAUGGCUGUAAAUAUGGCUCAACAAACGACCGGCGACUCUCUGUCUGUUGCCCAAAAAUAUCUGAGUUGCGCUACUUAGUACUUUACUUGCGCGCUGGGAGACGCCACUAAAAAGCACCCGAUUCCCGCCGGUGAUCGUGUAUGUUCGGAGAAAAAUUUGGUCGUUUGACGUGAAUGACAAGAAUAACGACACGAAUGUUCCCGCUUUUUUUGCGUUUGUUGGUUGUUUAAUGUUUACUUUCGUAAAAAAGCUCCAACUAAUUUGAUUGAUUAUUGCGAUUAUAUUUAACUUUCCUGUGUUUCUUUGUGAAAUAUUGACCAUAUUGUUGCUUAUAGUGUUUUAAAAUAAUACUUGAAAAGCUGUAUUAAUUCCAAUUCAGCGAUUUUAGCUGUAAAGAUGGACGGCCCUACUCAAAACCAUCAGAAUCAGGACCAAACUAUCAACAAAAAUAUGUGCCACUUAUGCAGAAAAAUGUUUUCUCCCAUUUCAGCUAAGAACAAACAUAUUAAGGUUAUUCAUAAGCAGCAGCUCCCAGAUAACCCAAAGUCACACAUUUCUUGUCCCUUAUGCAAAGAGACUAAGUAUUCUUGUGAGACUUAUCAAAAACUUUAAGCUCAUUUACAGGUAAGUCAUGAUAUCAAAAUAGAGUCCUCAACUUUCCAUUUUUCCAGCGAAGAAAGAUUUGAGCAAUAGUUAAGAGAGCAUAAAAUAAGCACAAACUAUGCACUUGUUCGCACAAGGAAAAUUGAAGACAAGAUUGAAAAAGUAUAUUGUUGCAAUCGAAGCAAUUUUAGAGGUAAAUUUGUAGCAAUUUCAAUUCAAGCAAAGUAUUUAUUACAUACUGUACAUAUUCAUUGUACUAUUUAGUGAAAGAUUGCUAAACAUGUACUUAAUGUGUAGCUGUUUCUAGGAUUUCAAAGCAAAUGUAGUAAGAGAACAAUAAAAUGUAGUGGUUCCAUUAAAAUGAAUGGUGUAUGUCCUUCUCGUUUAAAUGUCAAGAUUUAUGGUGCAGGUAACAUUAUAUAGUCCUUUAGGGUAUCCACAUAACGGGCCUGGAUGAUCACCAGAAGCAUGGCUGUAAGCCUUAUUUUUGUAUUGUCUUUAUGGUGUGUGAGCAAAGGAAGGGAAGCGAUUCUGUUUUAGAAAUUGAAACGUUUGUUAAUGAGAAGAUGACUGAAAAUCAACAAGUAGCAGUAUGAGGAUUGAACAAGCAAUCAACAAGAGAAAUUGAAAUUGAGAGAGUAUCAAACUUUUUAUGAUCUUUAAAUGAUGAAACUUAUGACAAGUGCAUGAGACAACUGACAUCAAUGAUGGAACAGGUAAAUAAGACAAAUACAGGUAAACGAAAAAUGGACAAACAAGUUUACUUUCCAUCAAAGAAGAA